CCAUAGAAACAACGUAAAUAUUCUUUACCGUUUGCAGCACAGCAAACUCUACGCAUGAAAAUGGCACUGAGAGCCUUAUUGCCAAGGAGAAGUCAUUGCUAACGAGAGAAAAAAACGGACUCCUUGCUGUUUUGGCAUCGUCAUAUAUGAGCCACAGCAACUUACUGGAAGUAGGAGCUACAGCCACACAGAAUCACUCUAUGGGCGUUGAACUGAACACCGUCUGCGAUGAGGACCACGUCACAAAGCUGUCCUGCGAGCCGAAGCUUGUUGAACACUUCGAAAGCCGGGGACAUCAGUACUCGCUCCAUGUCGUGUGCCAUCAUUAUUCAAAAAUGUGGAUGUCUCGUCUCUUUCUCCUUUUUAUACCACUCGAAAUGACGUGUAGCUACGUUCUAAUACGCAAAAACCGCACUUUUGCGUCACAGUGUUCUAAGAUACCGUAACGUUUAUUUUUAAAUCUAUAUUUGAGAUUCGACAUUGAUUGGGGGGAAAAUAUUUUCUAUGCGCAAUCAGCUGUACAAGAAGAACAAGUUAAAUGUUUUUAACAUCACUUUUGGAAAAUGUAUACCGUGCUUAUCUUAGCAUUUACGUUUUGUAUUAUGUGUGAAUUGUCAAAUCACGAAUUCCCGAAAUAAAUAAAAUAGUUCCUUAAUUAAUAAAAAAAUGUUUUCAUAUUUUUUCUCCUCGGCUACGUUUCUAAAAAUGAAAAACAAAAAAGGUCCUUUACAUGACUGUCAGGAACGAGGCUAAAGUUCGUAUCUUAUUCCCUAGUUUCCACCUUAAACAUAAGCCACUGAGCAACAAAUGUCCACAGGACAUUAUUUUAUGGGCUAAAUCUGGUCGGCCCGUUGUGGCCUUUAUUUAGAACAAAAAUGGUCCUUGAAAAUUGGGCUGCGUAGUCCGUCUGUUUUGGUCCACAUUUAGCACAAGGCGUACGUAUUUUUCGGACCGCAAAUAUCCCCAAUACAGUCAUGAAAACAUAUUGCAGCAAGUGUGGAAUUAUCACAAUGAUUAUUGUGCUGUGUACAGUACACUUCACCCAAAUCCUGAACACUAUUGCAUAUAAUCGAUUAUAUAUUAUAGAGCAGUUAUGUUACAAUCAAGGUUUUUAAGUUUGUUUUCCUGCAGCUUCGCGGCACCCAUCGUUCUUGCGCACCCCCACACAGAUGGACGAGUUAAGUUAGAAGUGGAUGGGAGUAGCGGCAGGACAGAUAUUCCGAGGGCGCCCAUUGAACGAUGGCAACAGUGUGGAACAACUAAAAUAACCAAUCAGCACAGGACAACAAGAAGCAGACGGCGUAACAAGGAUCGAAAGCCUGGGGGCUGAAGCUAAUUCAGUGGUAAAGACAUGAGCUCGUCUCUUGGAGGUCGACGUGAGGAGGUCUGCACUGGAAAAGACCACACUGACAGGUGUCCACAGUGUAACAGGCAGGCAGGUACACAGACAGACUGACUGGCAAGCAGAUAGAUAGACAGACAGAUGAAGAGGCAGGCAGGCAAGCAGGUAGAGAAAUAGAGAGACAGGAAGGCAGAUAGACAGGCAGGCAGACAGACAGGCAGGUAGAUAGACAUGUCUAGGAGGGCAGAAUGAGGCUGUGCGACCCUGAUAAAUACUCCUGCUUCCUGUGAGGUUUUAUGUAUUUCCUCUCCAGGACCAAACAGCUGUCUCCCUUCCUCCAUCUCUGAGCUACAGGAUGGUAUGUGUCACCUAACCUCUGCACACUGCACGCAGUGAUUUGCAGUGAUUUGCAUAUGCCAUAGGAUGCUUGGCCCUUUGCCUCCUUCCUGAUCCAAACUUCUAGGGUCUCCAUGGGUAACCAGCAUCCUGAUGCCAUGAAGAGGGUGUUGAGGAAGAGGAGAAGCUUCAUGGUGUAGUAAUACCAGCCACAUUUAAAUCAACAUGUAGGAAAAAAAAUCACCUGAGCUGCAAAACACAUAGCAAUCCAGUGGGGGCGCUGUUUGGCUCAUUGAGUUUGGAUGCUAUGUCUAUGAUGGGAAGGUCACCUGUUCAAUGUCACUACUGGGCCCCUCCGUAAGGCCCUUAACCCACCGUUACUCCAGGCACUGUUUGGCCCUGCUUUCUCAAAA